UACGUAGGGAGCAAGCGUUAUCCGGAUUUAUUGCGUGUAAAGGGUGCGCAGACGGGAAAUUAAGUUAGUUGUGAAAUCCCCAGGCUUAACUUGGGAACUGCAACUAAAACUGGUUUUCUUGAGUGCUGGAGAGGAAAGCGGAAUUCCUAGUGUAGCGGUGAAAUGCGUAGAUAUUAGGAGGAACACCAGUGGCGAAGGCGGCUUUCAGGACAGUAACUGACGUCGAGGCACGAAAGUGUGGGGAGCAAAC
rnacentral:rRNA from 1 species